CAUUCCUACGGGAGGCAGCAGUCGAGAAUCAUUCACAAUGGGGGAAACCCUGAUGGUGCGACGCCGCGUGGGGGAAUGAAGGUCUUCGGAUUGUAAACCCCUGUCAUGUGGGAGCAAAUUAAAAAGAUAGUACCACAAGAGGAAGUGACGGCUAACUCUGUGCCAGCAGCCGCGGUAAUACAGAGGUCUCAAGCGUUGUUCGGAAUCACUGGGCGUAAAGCGUGCGUAGGCUGUUUCGUAAGUCGUGUGUGAUCGGCGCGGCCU
rnacentral:rRNA from 1 species